rnacentral:rRNA from 1 species
GUGGGGAAUAUUGGACAAUGGGCGAAAGCCUGAUCCAGCCAUGCCGCGUGUGUGAAGAAGGUCUUCGGAUUGUAAAGCACUUUAAGUUGGGAGGAAGGGCAGUAAGUUAAUACCUUGCUGUUUUGACGUUACCGACAGAAUAAGCACCGGCUAACUUCGUGCCAGCAGCCGCGGUAAUACGAAGGGUGCAAGCGUUAAUCGGAAUUACUGGGCGUAAAGCGCGCGUAGGUGGUUUUGUAAGUUGAAGGUGAAAUCCCCGGGCUCAACCUGGGAACUGCCUCCAAAACUGCAUGACUAGAGUACGGUAGAGGGUAGUGGAAUUUCCUGUGUAGCGGUGAAAUGCGUAGAUAUAGGAAGGAACACCAGUGGCGAAGGCGACUACCUGGACUGAUACUGACACUGAGGUGCGAAAGCGUGGGGAGCAAACAGGAUUAGAUACCCCAGUAGUCC